GAAGGCUCAUCAUCAAAAAUAAGUAAGAAAAGGCUGAAAGAGGACUGGGGAGCCUCUCGAAGUCUCCGAUCUCACAGAUGGUUAGGCUGCAAUUCCUUCGCUUGUGAAGAAGCUUAGCUAGUUCUCCUUCCUCGGACAUUCUGUUCGCCUGCCCAUGCUUCAAGAUUGAAGUUUUCACCAGAAAUCUCUGUAAAAAAAAGAACGUUGUAACGAGAUCGCAUAGGUCCAACAUAAUCCUCCUAACAGGCAGCCAAAGAUGGGCGAGGAUCAAUUAGUUAGCUAACGAAGUUGAUGUUGAAGUAGAAAAAUCAUCGUGCAGAAACCUGGAUCUCAGGAGAACAGAUGCUUGUGCAGGAAGGCGCGGGAAGGCUCAUCAUCAAAAAUAAGUAAGAAAAGGCUGAAAGAGGACUGGGGAGCCUCUCGAAGUCUCCGAUCUCACAGAUGGUUAGGCUGCAAUUCCUUCGCUUGUGAAGAAGC
rnacentral:lncRNA from 1 species